rnacentral:rRNA from 1 species
GCCCCAAAAAGAUAAAUAAUUCAACAUCGAGGUCAUAAACUUUUUCUUUUAUAAGAACUUUAAGAAAAAAUUAUGCUGUUAUCCCUACGGUAGCUUGNUAUGAUUUUCAAAUUGAAGAUAUUUUUAAAAAUAGAUAAAAGAUUUAGUUUUUUACCGCCCCAGUUCAACAAAAGUCAAGUUCGAUAGGGUCUUGUCGUCCUUCUUUAAAAUUCAAGUCUUCUUACUUGAAAGCAAAGUUAAAGAAAUAAGAAUGAUAGAGGAAUUUAUGUGUCAAACCUUUCAUUCUAGCCUUCAAUUAAAAGGCAAAUGAUUAUGCUACCUUAGCACAAAAUUAUUGCGGCUAUUUAAAAAUUCAUUGAGCAGGCCCUACUAAAUAUAAACACAUUUAGAAAUGUUUUUGGUAAACAGACAAUAAACAAGAGCCGAGUUCAUAAAUUCUUAAUUAUAUGGAGAUAUAGAAAUAAUUUUAAAAUGAAGUUUUAUCAAUUCUUUACUAAUAAAAUCAUAAUGAAAUUGUAAAGAAAGUCUUCUUUUAAAGGAAUUUUCUUACAAAAUGAUGGAGAGUUUUUAUACAUUGAGGACACUAUUAAUCCUAAAGUUAAUUCAAUAACAAUAAAGAUAAAAUUUAUUAAGAAGGUUAUCCUUCUUGAUAUUUUUGUACUUAUACUUUUAAAGAAAACCAGAUAUAAUAAAAAACGAAUAAAAUUUCAUUUCUAUAUUCUUUUUGAAGAAUUCUUUAAAACGAACUCGAUAAAAGUAAUGUAGAUCAUUUAAUUUCGGGAAAGUUUCUUAAGAAAAACUAGUUGAAUUUCCCUGAUACCAAAGGUACAAUAUCUUUCUAAUCUUCAAUUUGAGGACACCCUAACGGUUAAGAUAAAAAAAAAGAGGUACAAAUAAAUGAAUACUUAUUUAAUCAAAACUUUAAUUUAAAUACU